UUUUGUUCGUCUGGUCCUCAGAUUGAAGAUUGGUGCUUCAAGCAGUCGCUUCGCUUGUUUCUGCUGCCGGCAUCAGCGGCUGCUACAUGGCACAGUCGACGGCUUUGUUUGGUGGGCAAGCUGACUUCCUCCCUAUGAUGUUGAUGACAUGGAUCAAGCGACGGCCAGUGCAUUAGUCCACUUAGAUGCCGGUGCCAUGUUGUUUUGUGCAAGAACAAGAACAGCAAUGUCGAACCCAUACUGGACAAAGCACGAGAGUCUUCUGGCAAUGGGAACUGCGACUAGGCUCCUCAGCACAGCUAUUAUCUUCUUGUAAUGAAUAGGCCAGAUGCCAGGUAGA